GAUGAAGAACGUAGCGAAAUGCGAUAAGUAGUGUGAAUUGCAGAAUUCAGUGAAUCAUCGAAUCUUUGAACGCACCUUGCGCCCUUUGGCUAUUCCGAAGGGCAUGCCUGUUUGAGUAUCAUGAACACCUCAACUCUCAUGGUUUUUCCAUGAUGGGCUUGGACUUUGGGGGUCUUGCCGGCCUAUGGUCAGCUCCUCUUAAAUGAAUCAGCUUGCCAGUGUUUGGUGUGGCAUCACAGGUGUGAUAACUAUCUACGCUUGUGGUUUUCCAUCAAGUAACCUUCAGUGAUGGAGGUUCGCUGGGGCUCAUAAAGGCCUCUCCUCGGUGAGGAUGGCUCCUUUGAACGUUUGAUCUCAAAUCAGGUAGGACUACCCGCUGAACUUAAGCAUAUCAAUAAGCGGAGGA
rnacentral:misc_RNA from 1 species